UAUACCUGCGCGUGCAUGUGGCUGAACAAAAGCAGAGCGAAACGAUCUGCUUGUCGAUCGAUGUAAACGGAAUGGCAACAGCGGCAGCGCUGCCAUCCACGCCAUGCAGCAAGUUAACACCAUACCGACUCUUCAUACACGUUUUCUUUUUGUUCUGUUUGCUUUUCAAUGUCAUUUAAAUGACGCCUCAAUGAAAUGUGUUCUCAUGUGUGUGUGCAAACCGCCACCAUAAAACCGCAUUCCGCUGAACUACCGUUGGUUUGGUUUUUGCGAUGAACGAACACAAACACACACACACACAUGCAAAAAAACCAUGUAUUCGCCAAGCAUUCAUUGACAAAUUCAAGCGAGAGUACCUAAAAAAAUAGGAAAACAUGAAAUUAACUAUGAGCCUACAAUCAAAUAAGAAUGCUUACCUUCAGGAAAAUGCGGUACAAUGUCCGAGGGCGAAGGAUCGACAGAUUUUUUUUUUUUGCAGAAAUGGGAUUUCUGAAUACUUGGAUAUGUGUCUUGCUAUCACACUGAAAUCACUAUCACUUUAGGUAAUUCUAACGAACGAAACGAUGGCGAAACCAAACGCACAUCACCGUUUCUUUUGCAGAUGCCUAGAAACGGUGAAGUUUUGUUGCGUGGUGGGCACUAUUUAAUUUUUAAUUGAUGUUUUUUUAGCUAACAUCCGCGACGUGCAAACCGCAGCAACCCGUGUUUAAAAAAUGAAGCGGAAAUGUUCUGUCCCAAUGGUAAUUAGAAUUGCCACCACUGCCAGUGUUGUAUUUGGAUCGAUUAUUUGGUAGAUAAAUUAAUCGAAAAUACAACCUGCGAUAUUGUAAGGGCUCGUUAGGUCGGUAUCAUAAAGAAGGUAAAUGUCAGGAAAAAUUAAGGAAAAGCCGAAAAGCGGAAAAAUGCCGCGUCAUUCCCGUAGGUAUAAAAGGGGGAAAAAGGAAAACGCGCCCUUAUUAUUCAAGUGGUGCGACAGUAAAAUAGUGGUCAUAAAAGUAAAAAAAAUUAAAACCUGCCAAAUUUCAAAAUAAAAAUUACUUUUUUUAAGGCAAUAAAAGCCUCGAUAUUUAUUUUAUUAUUUAUGGUGAAGGCGUUAGUAAUUGAUUUGUUUCGCCAAAAUAAUUUAAAUUUCUCGAGGGUAUCAACUGGCCUCCUCGGCGAACAAAAGCGGAGAGGUCAGCCCAUCUUUGACGGCCACAGCAACCACCACAACGCAAAAUUGAGGCCCCAGCAACCGCCUCCAUAACACCAAUUCCCUUGAUCCAUGAUAUCCGGGUUCUGCUUUAUCCUGGUGGACGAGGUCGCGGAAGAGUGAUCCUGGAAAAGAACAAAGCAGGUUGUACUAAAGAAUGCAAAAAGCCAGGUAACAAAGUUAUUUAUUAAACUUACCGCUUGUUUGAUACAACCACUGGCAUAAAAUAAAAACCAGAACCAGGAGGGAGACCCUGCAACAGAAAAAAGGAGAAAUUCCAUUAAAUAAAA